rnacentral:lncRNA from 1 species
AGUUGCCGAUGGAAGAUCUUUGAGCAUACUACAUUGAUCGCCACUGCAGGUAUGCAUUUCAUGAACACCAGCGGUCUGAUCCACCGCAAGAGGGUGUUCUUUUCUGGAAAAGUGGUUGGAUUGCCAACCCGUGAGCCCAGGGGCUUUAUUGCGAGGGUAUAUGCUUCUGACCCAGGGGCUUCAUUGCGAGGGUCAGGUACUAUGCUUCUGACCCAGGGGCUUCAUUGCGAGGGUCAGGAACAGGUUGAGCAGUGUGGCAUGGGCCUGAGGUCUUCGGACCAAUAGGGCAACGAGAUUGGGUACUUUUGAGAUUAUCGUCAGUUGACGCAUAUGUCUAUAGUAGCAGUCGUGCAUGCAUAUUUACAGUUCUUACUUUAUAGUUGUCAUGCUACUAUAGUAGAUAUUCAUGUAUGCUUUCGGUUCCAGUUACAGUAGCGGUAGCCGUUGUUCAGUCUAGUUCUUACUUUCUGUCAGUUUAUUGCUACUGUAUUUAGUAUAUCUGCUCAUUACUUUAUACAUCUCUUUCGCUUACUAUUGUUCCUACUGUAUUUCCACUGACCCGUGUUGUUGUAUAGCUCUUCCUGAUCCGGUGAGUACUCCUCGCCUUCUUCGGCUUGCGGUACCCACUGGGAGGGGAGACAUGUUUACAUGUUCUCACCUCCCCCACCAUUUUUUCAGGUAUCGCAGGCGGUGUGUAUUGGGACGAGACGCGAGAUACGUAUGUAGCGGUCGAUAGAUCUUCCGACCCAGGUUGUUCGGUUUAGUUUCUACCCUUACUAUUCUGUUGUUAUAGCAUAGAUAGCUUGUAUGGUUCAGCAUUUAUUUACAUUUGAAAAUGUGGAUUUUCAUGAAUGUAAUAAAAGAAUUUCUGGAUUUGGUAAACUAAAAUGUUUUCUACCCCUCGUGGUAGCGUUUCUAAAGAAUAAAGGUUUCCGUGUAGGAAACAGUUUUCAAAAGGAUUUUUCGUGGAUUUCUGUUUAAACAUUGAAUGUACAACUGUGAUGUGAAUGGUGAAUGUAUGAAUGUAUAGUUAUCUUUAUACUCAUCUAGUUGUGGUUGUAUCCUGGUUGUACUCUUGUACUUGUGCGACGCCGUGCAAAUACAGGGGAGA